rnacentral:rRNA from 1 species
CACGGGGGGAGCAAGCGUUGUUCGGAAUCACUGGGCGUAAAGGGCGUGUAGGCGGUCAGGUUAGUGAGAUGUGAAACGCCCCGGCUCACCCGGGGACCUGCAUCUCAAACUGCCUGGCUUGAGUAUGGGAGAGGAUGAGGGAAUUCCUGGUGUAGCGGUGAAAUGCGUAGAUAUCAGGAGGAACACCGGUGGCGAAGGCGGCUCUCUGGAACGCAACUGACGCUGAGACGCGAAAGCGUGGGGAGCAAACAGG